AAGCUCGUAGUUGAAUUUCGGGAUUGACGUGAUGGUCGUGCCUUAAGGGGUAUGAACUGUCGCAGUUGAUUUCUCACCUUCUGGAGAAGCACGAUGUCCUUAAUUGGGUGUCAUGUGGAACCAGGACCUUUACCUUGAAAAAAUUAGAGUGUUUAAAGCAGGCAUUUUGCUCGAAUACAUUAGCAUGGAAUAAUAGAAUAGGACGGCAUGGUUCUAUUUUGUUGGUUUCUAGGAUCACCGUAAUGAUUAAUAGGGAUAGUUGGG
rnacentral:rRNA from 1 species